GUUAGCGGGUCGCCGGCGGGUAUGGCGGCACAAGGGUGGGAGAGCAGCGCUGGGUGCAGGCUGCGCUCCAGGAGGCUCAGAAAUCACGUGUGUGUUAGACGCUGCUGAGGGGCACGCUGAGCCACCGCUGACACCCUACACUUGCUAAUUGUUUGACAGGGGCUCUAAGCCGCUGUCAGACACUAAUAUACCUCAGUCCAGUAUAAAAAAAAUUGGGCAAGCCGAGCGCCAUUACGGGGGGCGGGGCUUUGCUAUGAGCGGACCCAGCAGCUCACCAGCGCCAUUUUCUCCCUGCAGAUCUAUACAGAGGACGCUGACAGGGAAGCGCUGCCCCUCCACAUCAACUCCAGACUAUCUCUGCGGUACAAGGGCAGAUUCCCUGGAUGGAUGGACAGAUCAUCCCUAGCUGUACAGAGCACCCCUGAAGGACAAAGCAGACCCAUGAUGGACUGACAGAGCACCUCUAGAUUGACAGAGCACCCUUGGAUGGGUACAGCAGCCACUUGUCAGACUGAGCAGCCCUUGAUGGACAACACAUCACUCACUUGUGUACAACAAAGCACCCGUGGGGGCGGGCACAGCACCCCUGUAUGUGCAAUAAAGAACACCUGGGGACAGA